rnacentral:rRNA from 1 species
CUAAUACAUGCGUAAAUCCCGACUUUUGAAGGGACGUACUUAUUAGUUUUAAGAUCGACACCUCUUUGGUGAUCCAUGAUAUUUACACGGAUCGCACGGUUUUAUGCCGGCGACGUUUCAUUCGAAUUUCUGCCCUAUCAAUUUACGAUGGUACGAUAGUGGCGUACCAUGAUUUUUACGGGUAACGGAGGAUUAGGGUUUGAUUCCGGAGAGGUAGCCUGAGAAACGGCUACCACAUCCAAGGAAGGCAGCAGGCGCGAAAAUUACCCAAUGCAGACGCUGUGAGGUAGUGACAAUUUUUUAAUUAUGCUGGGCUUUAUAAGUUUGGUAAUUGGAAUGAGAACAUUUUAAACAUCUUACCCUCUUUGGUGAUCCAUGAUAUUUACACGGAUCGCACGGUUUUAUGCCGGCGACGUUUCAUUCGAAUUUCUGCCCUAUCAAUUUACGAUGGUACGAUAGUGUCGGUAGGAAAAUUUUUACGGGUAACGGAGGAUUAGGGUUUGAUUCCGGAGAGGUAGCC